rnacentral:lncRNA from 1 species
UGCAGUUUAAAUCCGGGUCAUCACUAGACUACUCGAGGUCGUCGCAGCAUUGCAGCAACCAUGGCUUCGCCUCUAUCUGCUCUAGCACCUCUGAUCCCGCCCGCUCCGCAGGUGCCAGUGCCAGUGCCACUGCUUCCUCCUCCUCUUCCCGUGCCGGUGCCGUCGCCGCUGAACUCCGGCUUGCAGAAACUGUAGUAAAUCUCUCACGCAUACCCCUGUCGAUCGUUGAAACGGGGGGUUUUUUUUUAACAACAUUCGGUAGCUCGUCUUGUUUGAAGAAAGGCUACAGUUUUACUCGCUUAUAUAUGCAUCUGUUUGGUUGUUUGUUGGUUGCAGGUCGAGGUUCUUGUGCUGCGGUUGGCUUGUUCUCAUGCUGCUGCUGCUGCUGCCCACCAAAGCGUGAGCUAGGAUACCUCUUCUGUAGCAGCGGUUGCAGCCUUGCAGGACUGAAGAAGGUGACGGGGCUGAGGAAUCAGUCAUAUAUCCGCUGCUGAUCGAUGCAUUGACGCUGUCGCACCUGCAGGCUAUACUCUGUUGCGGAUAUAUGAUUUCUGUGUUUCUAAACCGUUAAGUCGUUAACUGUGUGCACUGUGGUGCUCCUUAUAAUUCUGUUCGUUUGAGUACCUGUGAAUUGUGAUGCAUAUCUGUGAAUAAAAGGAGACGUGCUUGCUAGCGUAGUGUGAGGAGUGUUCAUUGACUCAUUGUUCAACACUUCAACUCCUAACACAAGUUCCUCUUUAUUGCUUAUUUUUCACCCGUAAAUAAAUAAAACGCCAUUAUCUUGGUCUUAUUAGAAUAUCUUUAGCAUGC